AUCUUUUUUAUUAAUAUGAACUUUUAAAAAAAAUUAUGCUGUUAUCCCUAAGGUAAUUAAUUUAAAAUUUAAAAGUUUUAGAUUUUUGGUUCAAAAAUUAUUGUUUAAGUUUUAAAAAAAUUUAAUAAAUUUUUUAAUUACCCCAAUUAAAUUUUUUUUAAAUUUAAAAUAUAAAUAAUAAUAAUUUUUUAUAUUUAAUUAAAAUAAAAUUCUAUAGGGUCUUGUCGUCUUUUUAAAAUAUUUAAGUUUUUUAACUUAAAUAAAAAUUUAAAUAAUUUUAAAUUGAUAUAGUUUAUAUUUCAUUAAAUCUUUUAUACUAGUUUUUAAUUAAAAAACAAAUUAUUAUGCUACCUUUGUACAGUUAUUAAUUCUGCAGCCAUUUAAAAUUAAUCAGU
rnacentral:rRNA from 1 species